rnacentral:rRNA from 1 species
UACGUAGGGUGCAAGCGUUGUCCGGAAUUAUUGGGCGUAAAGAGCUCGUAGGCGGUCUGUCGCGUCUGCUGUGAAAACUCGGGGCUUAACCCCGGGCCUGCAGUGGGUACGGGCAGACUAGAGUGCGGUAGGGGAGAAUGAGAUCCUGGUGUAGCGGUGGAAUGCGCAGAUAUCAGGAAGAACACCGAUGGCGAAGGCAGUUCUCUGGGCCGUAACUGACGCUGGAGGAGCGAAAGCGUGGGGAGCGAACAGG